AUGGUCUCGAUCUCCUGACCUCAUGAUCCACCUGCCUCGGCCUCCCAAAGUGCUGGGAUUACAGGUGUGAGCCACUGCACCCAGCCUCAUCUUAUCUUAUGUAAAAAUGUAGAUUUACUGGGCACUAACUAAAGCCUCCUAAGAAUGUAACCAUUCACCUUUACACCUACCUGCCCCUCUUCCUACGUGCCUUCCUCCCCUUUAAGGAAAAGUAUACGUACUAAACCUCCUGAAAACCUCUUUGGAAAAACACACGUUUUUUUCCUUGACACUCCCCGAAGCUGGCUUAAUAAACCUCAAUUGACUGAGAUACUUGCCUCAGUCACUCAUUCUGGUUAUCAUUCCCAACAUGGAUGUCAGCAGUGAUAUUAACUACUAGUUCUGCCCCUUACUCUAUGGCAUCACUUGACUGUAAGCACCAUAUAGGCAUGCCACCUUUAUCUUCUUGAUUUUAUUCCGAGUGCCUGGCAUUUAAGAGAUACUCAAGAUAUGCUUGCUAAAUUGAAACCUCUCUGAAGUUCUGUAGAACUAAUCACCUUCUAAUAAAUAUAUUUUAUUUCAUUAUUAUGCUAAUUAUUUUUCCAUCAGUUUCCCCUCUCUAGAAUGUAUGCCCCAAAAAGGUAGAGAUAUUUGCUUAUAUUGAUAACUGAUGUAUCUCAAAUGCCAGAACAGCACCUGUCAUUCAGUAAGUGCUCCAUAAAUACUUCUUGAGGCCUGGCGCGGUGGCGCACACCUGUAAUCCCAGCACUUUGGGAGGCUGAGGAGGGUGGAUCACGAGGUCAGGAGAUCGAGACCAUCCUGGCUAACAUGGUGAAACCCCGUCUCUACUAAAAAUACAAAAAAUUAGCCAGGCGUGGUGGCACACACCUGUCGUCCCAGCUACUCAGGAGGCUGAGGCAGGAGAAUGCUUGAACCCGGGAGGCAGAGGUUGCAGUGAGCAGAGAUGGCGUUACUGCACUCCAGCCUGGGCGACAGAGCAAGACUCCAUCUCACAAAAACAAACAAAAAAAACUUGUUGAAUGGAUGAGCCUAACUUUCCUAAUCUGUAAAAUGUAGGGAACAAUACCUACUGAAAAUGGUUGAGUGACUAGAGAAAAUGCAUUCAAAGUGCCUUGAAUUGAGCUUGUCACAUAGGUAGUUACAACGAUGCUGUUGCUUUAUUCUCCUAUAACACUUUUAGACCCAUUCCUGAUAUUCUACAAGGAGUGACAUCUGAGGUCAGCCGACUAAUCUGUGUUCUUCCUAGAAAUGAGAUGGAUUAGAGUAUUUCUGCUGGGCUGAUGUGGCAGGUGAAACAAAGAAAUAUUUACCUGAGACUCUUCCAAUAAGCAGUCUCAGCCAGUCACAGGAGCCAAACUUCAGUCAGCCACAGGCAGUCAAAUAUUCAAACCAGGUCAAAUAAGCCUUCUGGGGCUGAUUUGGUCGCAGGCAGCAGAGCAGUUGAAGAAGCAAAUGAGUAAAUGGUAGCAGAAUAGAAUCUGUUCCAAACACACAUGAUCCCAGGAAUGGAUGGAGAGAGAUGUCAGUCAUGGGACUUUCCACAGAGCAGGUGGGAGCAGAGACACAGCCACAUUGUACUGUGAGGUUGGUGAAGGUCUCAAAAAAGAAUUAAGCAAAUGCCAACAAAGAUAAUACCUUCCAUUUAUCACUGGAAUUACAUACAGCCCCUUCUGCAUUGCCUUUGGUUUGUUGAUUGAGAGGGGAAAAUAUCUUCUUUCUUAAAUAAUCCAGAAUAAAACUUUUAUUUAUUUAAGACACAGUCUUGCUCUG